CGAAGAAGCUUUGCAUGCAAGUCGUGUGGCACGUGUACCUUGCUACUAGAACGUACCAAUGGAUGGAAAAUGAAGAUGCUACCUACUCGUAAUCUCUCUACAAUAUAUACAUUACUCGACCAAUGUGUUGUGCAAAUCAAGUCCCACACAGCGCAACUCACUAGCCGGUCAAUCAUCGAAUAUCAUCGGCCGUCCGCGCGUCCAUCAGUCGGAGAAGACCGUCCAUCAAUCGUGCUGCGAAGAUGAGUUCCUCCGACGACCUCGCCGGUGGAAAGAAGACUUCGUGGCCGGAGGUGGUCGGGCUGACCAUCAAGGAGGCCAAGGAGAUCAUCCUGAAGGACAAGCCCGACGCCGACAUUGUCAUGGUGCCGGUCGGCUCCGCCGUGACCGAGGACUUGAGGCCCAACCGUGUCCGCAUCUUCGUGGGCACCGUCGCCGAGACCCCCCACGUUGGAUAGGUGGAUAGCUCUUGCUGGCUUGCUGUGGCCUGCAUACAUACAUGCUGGCUCACGAAUAAAUGAAUAUGGAGAAAUAAAGAAGUAUGCAAGUCAUGUGUGCUUAAUCGGUCCUUAAAGUGUGCUUAAUCGGUGUUGUGGCAAUUUUUAUUUUAUUUAACUCGUUUUGCCAAUUUGUAUCGAACUAUGUAUUUGAUGGCUACUUCGUAUAAUAAUAUGGAUGCAUGCACCAUUUUGAUGCA